AACGGUGGAGACUGCAGACCGGGAGACUGAGGCUGUAGAGGGGCUCGCCUGGAUAAAUGUCGCCUCGUCUCUCGCUCUGCUCCACCCUGAUUUUUCCUUAUUACUCCCCCCCCCCCACCACCACCACUGCUUUCUGGAUACCGGGGUCCCAAGUUUGUAACUCAGAGAUCUAAUUCACACCCAUGCAAAAAUGUUUGUUUCAGGCCCCCUUAGUUGAAAGGCUCUGACAUUGUUCGGAAGCCCUCUGUGUGCUAGCCAGACGUUGUUCCAAGCGUUGUCCUGCGUUUAUUUACUGCGCUUGACGACCCUAAAAGUUUUCACAUUCAGGAUCUCAGCAUAUUCUUAGAAGAACUCUCAAGAAGUAGGGGAGGAAAUAUUCAUAUUUACAACACCAUAGACCUGAGUGUGCUGGUUCCCAGCAUUCAAGGAAUGAUGGGGAGAGAGAAAGAACUGACAUCCUGCUUCAGCCAGGUACAGUUGGCUGGGUAUGGGUUCAACUCAGCUGGUGAACUAUGCCUGGUUUUCUAUUAACUGUACUAUUGUUCCCUCACUUGGCAAAUAAUAAGUACACAUGCAAUAAUUUAAAGAGUUCUAAAUUUUAGUUUUCUUAAAGUCAAAGGCAUUAUACUUAAAAUUCUGGCAUUAAAAUUAAAAUAAAAAAUGAAUUCUAAA